CAGUCGCCGCGGUAAUGCGUAAGUGGCAAGCGUUGUCCGGAAUUAUUGGGCGUAAAGGGCCCGCAGGCGGUUCCUUAAGUCUGAUGUGAAAGCCCCCGGCUCAACCGGUGAGGGUCAUUGGAAACUGGGUAACUUGAGUGCAGAAGAGGAGAGUGGAAUUCCACGUGUAGCGGUGAAAUGCGUAGAGAUGUGGAGGAACACCAGUGGCGAAGGCGACUCUCUGGUCUGUAACUGACGCUGAGGAGCGAAAGCGUGGGGAGCGAACAGGAUUAGAUACCCGUGUAGUCCCUGUCUCUUAUAU
rnacentral:rRNA from 1 species